AAUGAACGUUGGCGGCGUGGAUUAGGCAUGCAAGUCGAGCGCUCAUAGCAAUAUGGGAGCGGCGAACGGCGUAGUAAGACGUAGGAACGUACCCUCGGGUCGGGGAUAGCUACGGGAAACUGUAGGUAAUACCCGAUAAUCUCUGCGGAGCAAAGGUGUGAUUCCGCCUGAGGAGCGGCUUACGCGAUAUUAGCUAGUUGGUGGGGUAAUGGCCUACCAAGGCGAUGAUGUCUAGGGGGUGUGAGAGCAUGGCCCCCACGACCGGAACUGAGAUACUGUCCGGACACCUACGGGUGGCUGCAGUCGAGAAUCUUCCGCAAUGGACGAAAGUCUGACGGAGCGACGCCGCGUGCGGGAUGAAGGCCCUUGGGUUGUAAACCGCUGUCAGAGGGGAUGAAAUCUUCGGAGGUACUCCUCCGAAGUUGACAGAGCCUCAAAGGAAGCACGGGCUAAGUACGUG
rnacentral:rRNA from 1 species